rnacentral:rRNA from 1 species
GACGAACGCUGGCGGCGUGCCUAAUACAUGCAAGUCGAACGAACUCUGGUAUUGAUUGGUGCUUGCAUCAUGAUUUACAUUUGAGUGAGUGGCGAACUGGUGAGUAACACGUGGGAAACCUGCCCAGAAGCGGGGGAUAACACCUGGAAACAGAUGCUAAUACCGCAUAACAACUUGGACCGCAUGGUCCGAGUUUGAAAGAUGGCUUCGGCUAUCACUUUUGGAUGGUCCCGCGGCGUAUUAGCUAGAUGGUGAGGUAACGGCUCACCAUGGCAAUGAUACGUAGCCGACCUGAGAGGGUAAUCGGCCACAUUGGGACUGAGACACGGCCCAAACUCCUACGGGAGGCAGCAGUAGGGAAUCUUUCACAAUGGACGAAAGUCUGAUGGAGCAACGCCGCGUGAGUGAAGAAGGGUUUCGGCUCGUAAAACUCUGUUGUUAAAGAAGAACAUAUCUGAGAGUAACUGUUCAGGUAUUGACGGUAUUUAACCAGAAAGCCACGGCUAACUACGUGCCAGCAGCCGCGGUAAUACGUAGGUGGCAAGCGUUGUCCGGAUUUAUCGGGCGUAAAGCGAGCGCAGGCGGUUUUUUAAGUCUGAUGUGAAAGCCUUCGGCUCAACCGAAGAAGUGCAUCGGAAACUGGGAAACUUGAGUGCAGAAGAGGACAGUGGAACUCCAUGUGUAGCGGUGAAAUGCGUAGAUAUAUGGAAGAACACCAGUGGCGAAGGCGGCUGUCUGGUCUGUAACUGACGCUGAGGCUCGAAAGUAUGGGUAGCAAACAGGAUUAGAUACCCUGGUAGUCCAUACCGUAAACGAUGAAUGCUAAGUGUUGGAGGGUUUCCGCCCUUCAGUGCUGCAGCUAACGCAUUAAGCAUUCCGCCUGGGGAGUACGGCCGCAAGGCUGAAACUCAAAGGAAUUGACGGGGGCCCGCACAAGCGGUGGAGCAUGUGGUUUAAUUCGAAGCUACGCGAAGAACCUUACCAGGUCUUGACAUACUAUGCAAAUCUAAGAGAUUAGACGUUCCCUUCGGGGACAUGGAUACAGGUGGUGCAUGGUUGUCGUCAGCUCGUGUCGUGAGAUGUUGGGUUAAGUCCCGCAACGAGCGCAACCCUUAUUAUCAGUUGCCAGCAUUAAGUUGGGCACUCUGGUGAGACUGCCGGUGACAAACCGGAGGAAGGUGGGGAUGACGUCAAAUCAUCAUGCCCCUUAUGACCUGGGCUACACACGUGCUACAAUGGAUGGUACAACGAGUUGCGAACUCGCGAGAGUAAGCUAAUCUCUUAAAGCCAUUCUCAGUUCGGAUUGUAGGCUGCAACUCGCCUACAUGAAGUCGGAAUCGCUAGUAAUCGCGGAUCAGCAUGCCGCGGUGAAUACGUUCCCGGGCCUUGUACACACCGCCCGUCACACCAUGAGAGUUUGUAACACCCAAAGUCGGUGGGGUAACCUUUUAGGAACCAGCCGCCUAAGGUGGGACAGAUGAUUAGGGUG